CCUUAUUCGACAACCUGGUAGUAUAGAAGAGGAGGUUACGUCUAUCAAUGGGCUAUCAAUCUCUAUAAAUACCCUUUAUUUUCGCCUUCAUUUCCUUCCUUCCUUCCUUUUUCACUUUUCCUUUCCCUUCUCAUUAUUCAGUUUCUCAUUUCUUUCUCUCCGCCUGCUGCUUGCCUUUCCUGCUUUUUUUCUAUAUUGGUAUUUUCUGUUUCUGAUCUGACAACUGCAUUUAGAGAUCACUUCUCUUGUUGGUUCGUAGGAAAACGAUAACAGACGACGCAGGAUCACGUCUUGUCAACACGUGGGAUUAGCAGACAUUUGGUGCAUUUUAUAGGAGCUACAUACCAUAACUUUCUCAAGGAUCCCUGUGUAGAUAAUGAUCAGCCACCUGCUAUAAAUGCGUUGUACCUCUGGGGAUGAGAAGUUUUCAGGAAGCCGAUGCUUGAUGGACUGCUUUCCCAGCAGUAGUGACAAGAAAACAUUGAAGAGGUGGUUUUUCAUCGAUAAAAGAGUUGGCUAAAAAGUACCGUGUCUACGCCUAAGGUGCAUAUAUCUGUGUUUUGGCUUAGUGGUUUGUUAGUAUCAAACACUUAAAUUUACAGUUUGGAGGUGCUUUAUAAGUAAUAUUCUGGAUCCAAUGGACAUGAAGUCAAAUAAUUCAUCUCCAGUUCUCACUGAUCCCGCACCAAUAAACAAAUCAAGGCUCGGCAUCCGUUCUAAUUUGCUGCCUUGCCCACAAUCUGGGGCAUCUUUUUCCUCUGGCAAGAACAUAACUAUUCCCAGGAAAAAACCAGGAAAGCUUGAUGAUGUUCGCUCCAACGGAUGGUUGGAUGCCAUGAAAUCCUCAUCUCCGCCUCGUAAGAAGUUCAUUAAGGAUUUCAACUUUGAAGUUGCUACAGAUGAGACUGACAUUGCGUACUUCUCUUGGAUGCUUAAGUACCCAUCAGCACUUAAUUCUUUUGAGCAAAUUGCAAAUUUUGCAAAAAACAAGAAGAUAGCAAUGUUUCUAGAUUAUGACGGGACUCUUUCUCCCAUAGUUGAUGACCCAGAGCAGGCCAUCAUGUCUGAUGAUAUGCGUUCUGCUGUAAGAAAUGUUGCAAAGUAUUUUCCAACAGCAAUUAUUAGUGGAAGAAGCCGUGAUAAAGUAUAUGAGUUGGUAGGACUAACAGAACUAUAUUAUGCUGGUAGUCAUGGGAUGGACAUCAUUGGCCCUAUCAAUAAGGCAGUGUCCAAUGACCAUCCAAAUUGUAUUAAAUCCACUGACCAACAGGGCAAGGAAGUAAAUCUGUUCCAGCCUGCUAGAGAAUUUAUACCUAUGAUUGAUGAGGUUUUUAGAACCCUUGUCGAGAAUACUAAAGAAAUCAAAGGUGCAAAAGUUGAGAAUCACAAAUUUUGUGCUUCUGUUCAUUAUCGUAAUGUAGAUGAGAAGAACUGGCCUAUAAUUGCACAAUGUGUGCAUGAUAUUCUAACACAGUAUCCUCGUUUGCGGUUAACUCAUGGGCGGAAGGUUUUAGAGGUCCGUCCUGUGAUUGACUGGAAUAAAGGGAAAGCAGUUGAAUUUCUGCUUGAAUCUCUUGGUAUUUACUCUCAUUCUUGGUGAUAUCUAAUAUGUGCCAAUUGAUUGAUUAACUUAUUUAUAUUAAAAUAUCAUAUGCUUAUUUGAAUGGAGGAUUGUUCUGGUGUAACAGUAAAGUUUCUCCAUUUGUGACCUGAAAGUCACAUGUUUGAGCCAUAGAAACAUCUUUGUAAAGCAGGGAUAAGGUUGUAAGGCUGUGUUCCUCAACCCUCCCCAAAGUCUACAAGUGUGGGAUGUUUCGUAUACUGGGUUACCCUUUUAUAAUCAUUUGAAUCAACUAUAAAAAUGGCAAUGCAGGCCUCGGUAACAGGGAUGAUGUGCUCCCAAUUUACAUUGGUGAUGACCGAUCUGAUGAAGAUGCAUUCAAGGUAUUGAAUUAUUCAGACUUAAAAAAGAGAAAUUUUUAUGCAGUAGAAGUGUGAUAAUUUGAUGCUACAUUAGGUGUUGAGAGAAGGAAAUCAAGGUUAUGGCAUUCUAGUGUCUUCUGUACCCAAAGAAACCAAUGCAUAUUACUCCCUAAGGGAUCCAGCAGAGGUGCAAACAUUAAUUAUAAAUUUACUUUCAUUUGCUUAAUGCUAUUUUCUGGUCUAAUCAUAUUAAUGUUGUUCAGGUAAUGAAAUUUCUGUCAUCGCUGGUGAGAUGGAAGAAGCUAGGAGAGGGGGCACGCUCCAUGAACAAUAGAUGGAGUAUUUAAUAUAAUAGCAAUAGACAUUUAAUUUUAAAUUUUACGGAUAUAAAAGGACUUUUUUGUUUUUUUUUUCUCCAGACAGGUCUAAACCUGUUCAUUUUCUCAACCAAGUCUGACAUUAUGUUAUUAACUUAUAUAAAUCACUAGUUGUAAGGUUGAAUUUUGUUAAUGUUUUUUUGCUGAAUGAUUAGCUUUAUCUUGCACAAUUCCCAAUUCUAUUAUUUGUUGUUUAACU
rnacentral:misc_RNA from 1 species